rnacentral:rRNA from 1 species
UGAGACACGGCCCAGACUCCUACGGGAGGCAGCAGUGGGGAAUAUUGCACAAUGGGCGGAAGCCUGAUGCAGCAACGCCGCGUGCGGGAUGACGGCCUUCGGGUUGUAAACCGCUUUCAGUUCCGACGAAGCGAAAGUGACGGUAGGAACAGAAGAAGGACCGGCCAACUACGUGCCAGCAGCCGCGGUGAUACGUAGGGUCCGAGCGUUGUCCGGAAUUAUUGGGCGUAAAGGGCUUGUAGGCGGUCUGUCGCGUCGGAAGUGAAAACUCAGGGCUUAACUCUGAGCGUGCUUUUGAUACGGGCAGACUAGAGGGAUGCAGGGGAGAACGGAAUUCCUGGUGGAGCGGUGGAAUGCGCAGAUAUCAGGAGGAACACCGGUGGCGAAGGCGGUUCUCUGGGCAUUACCUGACGCUGAGAAGCGAAAGCGUGGGGAGCAAACAGGCUUAGAUACCCUGGUAGUCCACGCCGUAAACGAUG